rnacentral:rRNA from 1 species
UGCCUUUUAAAUGAAGGCCUGUAUGAAUGGCAUAACGAGGGCUUAACUGUCUCUUUCUCCCAGUCAAUGAAAUUGAUCUCUCCGUGCAGAAGCGGAGAUAAAAACAUAAGACGAGAAGACCCUGUGGAGCUUUAGACUACAGACAGACCAUGUAAAAAAUACCAACAUAAAAGGCUUCAAACAAAUUGGUAACUGUUUUAGUGUCUUUGGUUGGGGCGACCGCGGGAUAAUGAAAAACUCCCACGUGGAUUGAGAAUACCCUAUUCUUACAACCAAGAGUUCCCUCUCUAAGUAACAGAACAUCUGACCUUAAUGAUCCGGCAUUGCCGAUCAACGAACCGAGUUACCCCAGGGAUAACAGCGCAAUCCUCUUUUAGAGCCCAUAUCGACAAGAGGGUUUACGACCUCGAUGUUGGAUCAGGACAUCCUAAUGGUGCAGCCGCUAUUAAGGGUUUGUUUGUUCAACAAUUAAAGU